ACACACACACACACACACACACACACACACACACACACACACACACACACACACACACACUGUGUCUCAUUGAGCCAGGUACAGAAGGCUGCAGAUCCCCUGCAAGGCAUCAAAUCCAUGGGUGGGCUCUCAUAGCAUGUGCUAACGAGCUGGCUGAUGUUCUCACUUCCAUCCUCUUAGUCAGAGCAUUGUCCUCUCCUGUCUCAAGACCACAACUAUUGUCCCCAUAACCAAGAAGAGCCCACCCACCAGCCUCACGCGUCUCCGUCCCCAGCUGCUUCUCCUGCUACCGCUCGACAGGCCUCGUCUGCUCCUGCUCCCCCAGCCUCGCCCGCUUCCACUUCACAGGCCUUGCCUGCGAGUUCCACUGGCUCACAACACCGUCCAGUAGCAGUCAAGCGAGAAUGGUUCACUGCCGGCGCAGAGUUGAUGUCUGCUGUGUGGCAGAUGUCCUGGAUUGAUGAGGAGCUUUUGGACCAACGAAAGCCAGAGUUUCAGAAGAAAGACCAACGUGAGGAACAGCACAUCGAUCAGAUGGAGUGGGUCAUAUCAAUGAACGAGCGUGUUCUUCGUCUGAAUGAACGUGUUUUUGAGCAAAAUCAGGCUACACAGGAGAGAGAGCUUGCUGUUUCUCAGCAGGUCUGUGACAUCGAGGAGGCCUUCCAGCAAUCUGUGCUGGAAUUGAAAAGGGAUGAGCUGCAACAAAAGGCUGCUUUUCUUAGACUGAUGUCCAACAUGUAAAGUUCUGCUCAGAAAUGAUACCUUUACCUUUUGUGUGCAAUAAAGAUGUUUCCUGAAAA